rnacentral:rRNA from 1 species
AAGACCUUGCGCUUUUGGAGCGGCCGAUGCCUGAUUAGCUAGUUGGUGGGGUAAUGGCCUACCAAAGCUUCGAUCAGUAGCUGGUCUGAGAGGACGGCCAGCCACACUGGGACUGAGACACGGCCCAGACUCCUACGGGAGGCAGCAGUGGGGAAUUUUGGACAAUGGGCGCAAGCCUGAUCCAGCCAUGCCGCGUGAGUGAAGAAGGCCUUCGGGUUGUAAAGCUCUUUCAGCCGGGAAGAAAAGGUUGCGAUUAAUAAUCGCAAUUUAUGACGGUACCGGAAGAAGAAGCACCGGCUAACUACGUGCCAGCAGCCGCGGUAAUACGUAAGGUGCGAGCGUUAAUCGGAAUUACUGGGCGUAAAGGGUGCGCAGGCGGUUUUGUAAGUCAGAUGUGAAAUCCCCGGGCUUAACCUGGGAACU